UAUUAAGUUUCUCUGUCAAACCUCACGCCCAAAAUCAAAGAGAAACCUCACGCCCAAAAUCAAAGAAAUCGAUCUCUCUGUCCAGCUCUUUUCAUGCCGGUGACAGUCCCACGCCGGCGACAGUCGAUCCCUCCGCCAACCUCCGUUAAACCCACCAGAGUCUCAGCAAAAACACCCCAUAAACUUUAUUUCCUCCACAAUAAAAAAUCACCUCCUUCAAUCAAUUCGAACCAUCGAAUAAUUUUAGGGUUUUUUUCUCGAUUAAUUAUCUCGGUUAACACUUCAAGUUCUCACAGAUCCCUAAUUCUAGGUUUUUGCUCAACUCUCAUAAAUUUUCUGAUUUACUUUGCAUUCUCUUCUUCUACUCCUUUUGUAAUUUCACAACAGUUGAGCCCUAAUUCGCAGAUUCCAUUCCUCACUGAAGAAGAAAUUGCCGCUGGUAGCUGUGGAAUAAAUAUCACUAUAAGUUUUUAAAAGUAUUUUUAACAAAAUUUGGGAUAAAUAUCACUGGUUGUGUGUAUGAAUCAAGCUUUCAGUUUGAGUGUUCCGCUGGUAGUUGCAUUGAAAUACGCAUGUUGAUACUUGCUUUUGAGUUGAUCAAUAUAUCAACUAUAGCAAACAUGAAUUAAUCUUAUUGUAUUGGUAGAAGUGUCAGCAUUGUAUAUUUAUUUGUGGUCAAUUAUUUUGAACUAUGACUCGACAAGUUUCCAGUUGAUGAAACGUAGAUAGGACGGCCUUACUCUAGGGUUACUAGUACUCUAGGAUCUUAAACAUACUCGUUGUUGCUUAGUAUUAUAAGUAUAACAUGUUAUGGCUGACUACAAUAUAUUGAUGAUGUAGAAAUUUUUUCCAUCAUCAGUGUUGAUCUACUUGUAGCUGAAGUUGUAUAUAAUCUUUCAUGAUUUGAUUAGUGUAAAAUUUAUACUAAAUCUAUAAAAAGAAAUUACACGUAAAAGAGAAUUAAUAAUGAAAGUAUCAUUUGGAGCUAACCUUUCAUGAUCUGGUCACCUCAUAUGCAAAUUCUCAAGGUUUGUUUCUAUAGAAAACACUUUGAAGUAACUGAGUAUAUUUCAGGAAAACCAACAUCCUAACUAUUUUGUUAAAAAACAUCAGAAGAAAAAGACAUUUUAAUUUCCUAAGGUGGCAUUUGAUGGGUUUGGGGUUUGAUUUAUGUUUGGUUUUGGGAGAAUCAGUUUUGACUUUGGCUUUUGAAAUAAUUUGCAUAUUUUGGAUUUGUUUGUAUAAAAAUUGGUUUGCACACCUAUUGUGUGUGAAAAUAUCACUAAACCUAAACGGAUUAAUAUGGGUGAAUAAGGUAAUUUAAAGCCAACUAGACUGAAUUAUUUAAAAAAAUUGUUUAAUCUUGUAACUAUGUUGCCAAGAAGAAUGAAUAGUCAUUUUAGUUCCAACAAGAAUUAAACUCCACUGUCUUGCUUCAUGUACUCUAUUUUUUCCACUUUUUUGGUUGUUCAAUUUUAGCGUGUUCUUUUUUGUCGAACUUUGCUGUAACAUGUUCUUCAAAUACGUGAAGAUCAAAGAAAAUGUUAUAGAUUCUUACUGUGAAAAUCAAGUAAAUGAUGAGACAUAUGUCACCAAAUUCAAGUAAGAACUUAGGUAAAUAAAAUGGAGACAAGGGCGGGCAAAUAGAGAACAAUUGGUUUUUGUUACUGCAAAGACUAUGUGUGUCAUCAUGAAUUAUUUGAAUUGAAAAUUUUUUAGGUAUCAGUUCUAACAUGAGUAAAUUAUUUAUGCAUUACGUAAGUGUAUUAACCGUCAAACAAAUGUAUAUUAAAGUAGAGUAAGGAAUCAGCUCAUUGGUCCAACUGAAGCAGUUGUAAAAAAGUUGGGUAGCUCAUCGGCACAUUGGCAAGGAAUGGGACCUUAUGUCCGCUAAAUGUAUUUAAUUGGAGGAAACUAGACACAAAAGAUCAUAUGUGGAACUAUAUCAAGGCAAAAUCUGACAUCCUAGAGGAUGCGAAAAUAUAGGUUUUUCAUUCAAUUCAGGUAGCUUGGAGAAAGUAUAAGAAUCAAUUGAAGAAAGAUCACUUUGAAGCCUAUCUGAAUGACGAGCUUCGAAUGGAGAAUUGACCUGUAGAUGUUUCGGAAUCUCACUUUAAGGAUUUUCUUAACUAUUGGAACUCCGAUUCCCACAAGGUGAAGAAAAUAUAAAAGGGAAGACGAAGACAGGGACGAUCUAGACGUUACUUAAGAAGAUUCUUGAAUUAUUGUUGGAAUUUAGAUGUUUUAGGAAUAUUGGUAUGGAAUAUUUUGAAGCUUAUGUUAACUCUUGAAUUGUAAAACUUAUGCACUUGGGUUUGAACAUUUUGCUUUGAUGGAUAUUACUAUAUAGCUUGUUGGACAAUUAUUUUGGAUUGCAAAAGUUUAUGAGUAG